CACCUUGUAUGUUUUAAAAUGGGUUUAUUGUAACAAAUGUUAAAAACAAACAAUUAUAAUCACGACAAAGAAGUACAUGCAUUUUUAGAAGUAGCAUUACAAAUAUAGAUAGCUUUGACUCUUACAAAAUGUAAACCAUCACUACCGAAGUCAACAGGAAAGCAAACGCAUUUAUCACAGUAGUUUUAGUCCCCGAGCUCCCUUUAAAGCCGCAGUCCAGCUGGUUAUUGCUUGGCGCUGUGUUUUCAGGGUUUCCUUCGAAAUGAACGGGUUGACAGGCAUCUCCUAUCUGUUCACAGGCGAGGAUGAUGUGUUUGGUCUCAUUGCGGAUGUUUUUGAUCCCACACGCGCCUUCGUUGAUAUCGACCCGCACCGUUACGAAGGAGAAUUUCUCUUUACUGAUGCACAGGUUACGGGACAGGGUCUUACCCCCGGCUUUAGUACACACAUUCUCCACUCGCUGUUUCUCGCUGGCACGGAAGAACGACUGCGUCGGUCUGCCACACGUUUUAAUUUUCCUCAGGAAAGUUUCCCAAGCGUUAUUGUCCCACGUUUUGGGCACCUCCUCUGGAAUAUGGCGCUUGAGGAAAACAUUAUGAGCGUUGUUGUACUUCGCUGGCAUACAAGGCUUAGAGUUUGUAUCCACUGAGUGGCUUUGAGACCAGACCAGAGUCACAAGUAGCAGAAAAGCAAUCAUCUUGAAGACCUGCUGUGAAGAAAGAGAAAAGGCAGAAGUUCCUCAAAAAUAUCCCGCUUUGCAGACGCAGUUCAAAAGCUCAGUGAUGAAGGAAAAAGGCUUCUUGCUGAUGCAGAGGUUGCUCUCAAACAUCUUUCCUCCUGAUGAACACACAGCUUCCACGUUGUCUUUCUCACUGAAGGGAAAGAAUGACUGAAUCGUUCUGUUCCAGGUUCUGAUUCUGUUAAUAAACUUUUUCCAGUUUUCUUUGUUCAGAUCGGUUGGUAUGUCAUUGCGUACAUGCCGUUUAAGAAAAGUGUUGUAACCAUUCUCGUUUUCUGCUUCAGUGCAGGGUCGAGGUGGGUGCAGCAUGUCUGGUUCACUCAGACAGGCGUGGAGUGUGAGAGUCAAGAUGACCACGAAUGACAGCAAGCACACCUACCUAUAUAAACCUGAACCUGAGUCAAAGCACUGACAAACAUCUGACUGGACACAAGUACUUUUUGCAUUAUGAUCCUUAAAAUGUUGUCAUUCGUGAUCAUCUUGACUGUGGUGCUCCACACUAGUCUGAGUGAGCUGGACAUGUGGUACCCAUCUAAGCCCUGCACUAAAGCAAAGAACCUGGAUGGGUAUGACACUUUCCUGAACCACCACCUUCGUAAGGACGCACCAAAUGAUCCACGCAAACUAAGAGAAUGGCAGAAGUUCAUCACCAAAAUCAACACCUGGAACAGGCCGAUUCAGUCAUUCCUUCCCUUCAGAGAAGCAAGAAGGGUGAUAGCUGUGUGUUCAUCAGCAGGAAAAAUGUAUGAAGGGAACCUCUGCAUCAGCAAGAAGCCUUUCACAUUCUUCACUGUUGAGAUCGCAGCUAAGAAGCAAGUCAAGAGAGUCAAGGUUCAGGAACAACAUGUUAUUCUUGGCUGUGAUAAAAUUAAAACUAAAUGUCUACCUAUUCAUUUUGAGGCAAAUGUAAAUGAUGAUAUACCAGAUGAUAUCGAACCUGACUGCAGCAAAGCAAUGGCAAAUUCAAGCUUUAUUACAUUCGAGGAGCUGUUUCAUGUCUAGACACAUGACCUGCAGAAUUCAGGUCACUUUUGUUCUUUUAUUUCUAUGUAACCAAUGAUGAAACUACAGUAAUUAGAGGAUGUCUGCUGACAUAAUGCAUUCUGUAUGUACACACACAAACAAACACGAA
ensembl:lncRNA